UACGUAGGUGGCAAGCGUUGUUCGGAAUUAUUGGGCGUAAAGGGUGCGUAGGUGGUGCCGUAAGUCAGGUGUGAAAUCCCGGGGCUCAACCCCGGAACUGCACUUGAUACUGCGGUGCUCGAGGACUGGAGAGGAGAUCGGAAUUCAUGGUGUAGCAGUGAAAUGCGUAGAUAUCAUGAGGAAGACCAGUGGCGAAGGCGGAUCUCUGGACAGUUCCUGACACUGAGGCACGAAGGCCAGGGGAGCAAACGGG
rnacentral:rRNA from 1 species